CAAACACAGCACACAUAUAUAUAUAAUAUAUCAUAUAUGAAAAGAAUUUAAAAAAAUAUAGAAAAUGCUCGUGAGAAUAUAUAUAUAUAAAGAAAAAUAAUAUAUAGCUGACCCUUUUUGGCAUCAGAGGUAGUUUCAGUUAAGUCCCUGGCUGAGACUUCUGAAGAAAUAAGAAGAACCAUAGCCAAGAGGCCUAGGAUGAGGAUUGCCUUUUUCGAAUCCAUUGUUCAAUAUCUGUUCAAAUGUAAUAUUUGGUAGUGAACGAUGAGAAAACUAGUAAGAAGUAUGCUCUAUAUAUAAUGGAGGGAAGGAGAGGGAGAUGUAAGGACCUUUACUUGGUAGUUGGGAAGGUAGCUAGUGAGUAUAAAUUCAAUCUUAUCUAUAAAUUUUGAAAUAUUGUUUGGUAAUUUUGAUACUAUUCAUAAUCUAUACUAUGUACAACAAAAAUGCAUGGUUUUAGGAUGAUUUUUUCACUUUCAAUUAUACUCUUACAAAAUUGCCUAUAAAAAUGUUAUAUUAUUGACGUCAUUUAAAAAUAUAUGAAUUUAUACUAUAUUUGUUAUAGGGUAAAAUAUGCUUUUCAUCCCUGCAAUUAUAGGCCGUUUGAUUUUUCAUCCCUGAGCUUACUAAUCCUCCCAUUUUGCCCUUGUAAUUACUAAUCAUUUGAAAGUUCGUCCCUCUUCCCAGAUAAUCACUGCCACAUCAUCAAAUUAGCAAAAUGGCAUGGGAAUUGACAAAAAUACCCCUGAUCUAUUUUUAAAAUUCUGAAAAUUGUUUUUAUAAAUUAAAAAAUCUGAAAAUAAUUUUAAAAAAUAAAAAAAUUAUAAAAAUAUUUUGAAAAUAACUUUUUCGAAAAAAAAUGAAAUAAUUUUUCACAUAAUUUUAAAAAAUAUAUAAUCAGAUUUUUUCGAAAUUAAUAUUCUGAAUUUUAAAAAAAUCUUUAAAAAAAAUCAGAUUUUUUAAUAAUUUUCGAAAUUAUAUAUUCAGAUUUUAAAAAAUUAUAUAAUUUUAUAUUUUUUUCAUAUUUCAAAAAAUUAUAUUUUUUUAAUUUUUUAAAAUUAUUUUCAGAUUUUUAAAUUUUUAAAAAUAAGUCAGGGGUAUUUUUGUCAAUUCCCAUGCCAUUUUGCUAAUUUGAUGACGUGGCAGUGAUUAUCCGGGGAGAGGGACGAACUUUCAAAUGAUUAGUAAUUACAGGGGCAAAAUGGGAGGAUUAGUAAGCUCAUGGAUGAAAAAUCAAACGGCCUAUAAUUGCAGGGAUGAAAAGCAUAUUUUACCCUUUGUUAUAUUAUAGGUGUCAUCGGAAAAUAAAAUUGAAGUUUAUCACAAUAUAAAAAUACAAAAUAUCUAUAAUUUUAAUUUUAAAUACAAUCAAAAUUUCAUAUAACUGUCGUUUGAAUGUCUUAACACAAUAAAAAUAGUGGACAAACUAACAUGAGAUAUCUUUCAAACGAAAGGGAAUAGUAAAAAUCGGAGGCUAUGAAAGUGAAGUAGGAUUAUAUUUGCAAUUGGCUGAAAGCGACAAACUAUUGAAAGAAUACUACUGGUGGUUCAUAACUGCUAUCUCAUCUCAUGGAGAUACAUAGAUCCCAACUAAAUAAAAGAAUUGGCAAGAGAGUACUCUCUCCGAUUUUUAUCAUAAAAAAAAAUAUUGAAAAAACAUCAAAUUCAAUGCAAUCAUUAAUUAAUGUAACUUUUUGAAUAUUUUUAAAAAAGAUGUUAUUGGUCUUUAAUUUGAGGUGGUAUGAGUAUUCUUAUCGUCCUUCGGUAGGAGCGUCAGGUUGUUUAUAAACUGUGCGGGGUUGUUUUUGUUGGAGGUGUAGUCAUCGUACAAUUUUGAGCAUGUUCUGGAUCCCAUGGUAUGUUUCUUACUAAUAAUAUAUAAUUACAAAUUUUAUUUGGCAAAUAUAUAUGAUCCAUGUGAUAAUGUAGAUAAGAAAUUUUUAUUUGACAAGUUAUUUGCAAGUCUUGGUGUAUGGGAGGGGAAGAACUUUUGUGUGUGUGGUGAUUUUAAUGUGGUUCGGUGUAUGGAAGAAAGGAAAUCAAUUAGGGAAGUAGUACAUUAUGAAGACAUUGAUCCUUUUACUAGAUUUAUUGAGGAGAAUUUCUUAGUUGGUCUCCCUCUUGGGGGUCAUGCAUAUACUCGGUAUUAGAGAGACGGUAGAAACAUGAGCCACCUGGAUAGAUUCCUGUUAUCUGGAGCUUGGUGUUUGACUUAGACUAAAUGUUUUCAGAUGGCUCAAAUUAGAGGUUAUCAGAUCAUUAUCCUAUUGUGUUGUUUCGUUGAUGACAAAAUUGGGGGCCCAAACAACCGCAUAUGUUGAAGUGUUGGUUAGAGAUUCCAAGUACUAAGUAGUUUGUUUGUGAUCAGUGGAGGUCUUUUCAGGUUGAUGGUUUGGGUGGUUACGUGCUUAAGGAGAAGUUUAAGUUGAUCAAAUCGGCGCUUAAACUAUAGAAUAAUAAUCAUGUUCAAAAUUUGUCAGGGAGGAUUUCUGCUAUUAAGGAGAGAAUAGCUUUGUUAGAUUGUAAAGGGGAAAUUGAGUUGUUUUCGGAUGCGAGUCUGAGGAGUUACGUGGGCUGAUGGGUGAUUUAUAGUUUUUAUCUCGUAUAAAUACUAGUAUUUGUUGGCAAUAAUCUAGGCUACUUUUGCUAAAAGAAAGAGAUUCGAACUAUAAGUUUUUUCAUGGCAUUACUUCUAGUCAUCAUCGGCAGGGCAAUAAUCUUAAUUCUAUUAUUGUUGAAGGCGCUCGGGUGGAAGGAGUGUCUAAUGUGUGUACUGCAAUUUUUUCUCAUUUUGUGGCUCAUUUUAAGGCGGGUAAUGUUGAUAGACCACUUGUGGAUGAUCUUCAUUUUCAUACUAUAUUGCCUAUGGAUGGAGUGAAUUUGAUUAAGGAUUUUAGUCUAGAGGAAGGGAAAGUUGCAGUCUGGGAUUGUGACAGUUUUAAAAAUUCUGGGCCCGGAUGACAUUAAUUUUAGUUUUAUAAAGGAGUUUUGGCCUGAAUUAAAAGGUGAUCUCAUGAGGUUCAUUUCAGAGUUUCACCGCAAUAUAAGAUUAACGAAAGAUAUUAAAUGUACCUUAUCUUCUCCUUUUUAUCAUCUUUAUUCACUUUGUAUUUUAAUAUCUUGUUAUUGUCUCUCUUCACUCUCACUUGGUAUGUGUAUAUAUGUUUAGAUUAACUAAUUUCUCAAUAACUUAUUAAUUUUUUUUGUUUAUGUGUUUGGUGUGAAAGAAGGACAUCAAGUAUAGAUAGGUUUUUAUUUUUAUUUUUGAAAGAUCAAGUAUAGAUAGGUUGAAACUGAGUAAUCGAGCAAACUUUCGUAUGGUAGCUCAUAUGAAAAAUUAAGCGUUUAAAACAAAUGUAGCAAUAAAAAAAAAAAUUGACUUGAAGUCAUCAAAGAGAUUUUUUUUGACACAUAGUCAUCAAAGAGAUAGAUCUAUCGAGCAAUGAUAUAUAGUGUCACAUGAACAUGUUUUUUAAACUUCACAUUCUAACUUGCAUAUAUUUAUUUUGAUUCCUUACAAAAUGGUUUAUAUCUCCGAUAUGCAAUGUGUAGAUCCCUUGGACGGUUGCAGGAGCAGAACAAUGUUUCAAGUCUAUUUAUAAUAACAAAACAACCCAAACAAAAAUUAUAAGAAAAAAAAUUAUAUAUUCAUAGGGGUCGUAGGCGUAUUUGAAUCUAGGUUUGCAUAUAUACAUUAGGCUUAAAUAUAUUUUUAGUCUUUUAUCUUUUACAACAAAUGUAUUUUGGUUAUUUAUCUUAUUUUGGUCCUUUUUUGUCAAAAAAAAAAAAUAUUUUUUCUCUAUUUUUUAAAAAUUGGUAUCUUUUUAAAAAUUAGAGAAAGUUGAAAACUAUAAAUCCACGUGGCUUCCGGUUUGUCAAUUGUAUUGUAGCAAUCUAAUCUCCUCUAAAGGAGUGCGUCAAAUCCUUUUUUUAAAAGGACGUCUCAAUAAAAUCUCCUUCUAAUAUUUAUGUUCUUGUUUUCGAUUUCAACAAUCUUUUUCACUAUUCCGAACAAACAACAGUGUCUUUCCUUCUUUUUUAUCAAGUAGUAUAGUGACUAAAAUUUAUAUUUUUUAAGGUGAAUGAGUUGAGUGUCUAGAGUUAGAACUCUAACAUCUGCAUAUAAUAAUGUCUGUCUCUGGUAACUAAACUAAUUUCCUUUUCUAAAACCAAAAGCCUAAAAUUUUCCUUAAAGCCUAAACUAUUCACCUUAAAUAUAAAUUUUAGUCAUUCACCUUGAAAAAUAUAAAUUUUAGGCUUUUCUCAUGCCACGUAUUAAAAUUCUGUCACUGAUGUUAUAAUUUAUGAUUAAAAGACUAAAUCCUAAAUCUUUUUAAAAAUAUAAAUAAAUUACCAAAAUAUGAUAAAAUUAAGAUAAAGCAUCAAAAUGUAUUUUUAAUAAAAGAUAAAAGACUGAAAAUAUAUUUAAGUCAACAUGUUAAGGGAGGAAGGGACCAUGGGGACCCUCGACUACCCUCCCUAUGUCCUUUGUCCUUACUGCUCAUGUCACAAUAACAAGUAAAUGAUUUUUAAGAUAUUUUGAAUAUUCAACUGAUGUACUUGUGCUAAAUUAAAUUGCCAGCAACAAACGAUAAUGAGAGUCACCCACUUAGUUCAGUUUUUCUUUUUCAUCAAAUCUAACAAAAUUUAUGCAUUAAAUGUUUCUCUAUUUUCUUCUAUAGGUACAAAUUUGCAGUUAUGAGCAUUUAAUGUUAGCAAAAAUAUAUCCAAAUAGCAUUGCAAUUUUUGAAAAAUAUUAUGAUUCACAUGAUCUACUCAUCCAAACAAUGAUAACAAUUUUUUUUUUAAAACAUUGUUGCCGACUCUAUUAUGAUGUUACUCCCUCCGUUCCUUUAUACAUGUCAUUUUAUAUAAUUUUUUUGUUUCUAAUUAAGUGUCAUUUUCAAAGUUCAAUGUAACAUUAAAUGUUGUUUUUCUUAUAAUGCCCUUAGUAAUUUAUUGCAGAGAGAUAAAUUUAAGAAAUAUAAUAUUAAAUAAUUAAGGAUAUUAUAGGCAAACCAUAAGUUAUUGUAUCAAAAGUAGUGAAAUACAUUUAAUGUUUUGGUUUGUGUAAAAAGUCAAAAUAUGAUAAUUAAAAAGGAACGGAGGGAGUAUGAUUUAGUGAUAAGUAAGUGGCAUGCUUGGCAAUGUCUAAUUUGACACAAUUUUUGGCAUUAAAAUUUAUGAGUUAGACUAACAAAUACUUUUAGGGUACUUGUUAAAGAUUCAAAAAUAAAAAUAAUUGAAUAUACAAUUUUUAAGAUUAUUAAAAUUUCACUUUAAAUUUCUAAGCAAAUGUCAUAAGGACACUUGUUAACAUCUUACAAAAUUCAUUUGUAGUCAAACUAGUACAAAUAACAUUUCCAUCGAAUGAGAAUCAACUCCAAAAUUUCACGGUGAUCGUUGUACUUUAUUUAUACUUUUGUACUCCAACAACUUUUCUAUAUUUAUAUAUAAUUAAAAUGAAUUUUGAUUGUUAUACAUUUAAAAAAAAUUAUUCUAAACUAUCUAAAUAGUAUAAAUUGAUAAGAAUCAAACAAGCAUGUAUUCAAACAUAAAUCAAGUUACUUUCAACUCAAUUUUAAUCAAAAAUCAAUUCUACAAAACUCAAUUUUCACCCUCACAAAGCUAAACCCACACUUUAAUGACCUAAACCAUAAAGAUACCUUGAAAUAUCUGCUCAAUGCUAUAUGGAAAUAAAAUAACAAACGUAACAAUGAAAAUUGAAAGCCACACAAAUGUUUAGUGUCUCUUGGGCAAGACGAAAAUACCAAAUUAAAUCCUCUCAUUUCUUCUUAUAACUCAAUUUAUAAUAAAUUAUGGAGAAUGUUAACUAUUGUCUCAAAAACAUUGGUUAAACAUCUAAAAUAAUAAGUUUUCAUAAAAAAGUUGUGUAAACAUUAUUUGAUCAAAAGUAACAUCUUAUAUUUUCAAAACAAAAUUUCUAUUUGUAGAUUCAUUAACCAUUAACCGGAAGACACUGGUUAGAAAGACCCAUAAAUUAUUUAUGAGAUGUAAUGCUAACCGUUAAGGAUACUAGAAAAUGAAGUUAUUACUUAAUUAUAUUUUUUUUUUACUUUUUAUGGAUUAAUUUCACAAUUUUAAUUCAAUUAAUACUAUAUAAUUUCCUUCUUUAGUUUCUUUAACUACUUUCUCAAGGACACUGAUUAACAUUUCCUUUAUAAUAAUGAUCGAUGAACUAUACGUGUUGUAACUUUUUAAUUUUUUUUACAAAUAUACCUUUAAUGGAAGUUGUGAAACAUUAAAUACAUUCACUAAUAAUAGAAAUACAAUUAUUAAAUAAGGGGUAGAAAAGUCUUUUAAGCAAUAACUAUGUGACAUUUUCUUUUAAAAAUGACCAAUUUUUUUUUUUUAAAAAAACUUUCUUAUAUUAAGGACCAAAGGGACUAAAUUCAUCCAUUGUAGUCAAUUUAUCUAUAAAUGAGUGUUUUUUGAACAACCAUUUAAUUAAACACUUAUAAAGCAACCAUAAUUUACAAAAAAAAUAUUUACACAAAAACUAAAGCAAUAUAAAAAUGAAAUAAAAAAUAAUGUUAAUAUAUGAAAAAUUUAUCAUAAAAUGAAUAUUCAAAUUUCAUUUCUCUUAUCUAACCAAUCUUCCUUUUCCUUAUAUGAAAGUUACAAAGCCGCCACAAAAGACUUUCCUUCAAUCAUUGUAAGGAUAACUCAUUCAGUACGUGGACAUGGUCCUCGAAUUCAAUCAUGUGGAACCAUCCAUAGGCAUAGCCAUAAAUAUUUAGAGGUUCAUGUUUCCUUCAUCAAUGGCAAUUUUAGCAUAUGAUAAUGAUUGAUGUCUUUAUAGGAGUGUUUUCGAUCAACCCACAAAUCUUGUGCUUAUAGAUACUCUUGUUUAAAGAGUUGUCUAGAACCAAAUAUUUUUAACAAAAUUCAAUAUGGUAAGUUACUAUUAUUAUAAAACUUAUUUAAGUUGGAUUGAGUAUAUAAUGAAAUAAAAUCAUUUGAGAAAAAUUAUUUGUCUCAAAAUACUUUUUUUUUUUGUAGGGAUUUGUCUCACAAUACUUAAAGCCACUAAGUAGUAACCAUUGUUUUUAUCAUGAAUUUAUUUUGUGAUUUUUUAUACAUAAUUUUAUUAAAAUUGAGGUGUUAUAAAUAUUUUUAUGAGGUCUUACAAUAAAAUGACAAAUCAUUUGGAAGGCCUCAAGUUUGAAUCAUAGCUGAACAAUUUUUAAUCAUGCCUUUUCUACUUUAUAAGUGAACUUGGGUCAGUAUUUUUUUUUUCAUAAAGAUAAUAAGAUUGUUACUAGCAUUUAAACUAUUACCCGCAUAUAAAUUACGAAAAAUAGUUUUUAUAGAAUUUUAAUUACAAUUAUAUUGAUCUUGAUUAAAAUUAUAGGUAUAGAUAAUAGAUAUUUUUCAAUUUUAUAUUGUAACAAACUAUAAUUAUCUUUUUCAAUGUUAACAAAAAUAUAAUAAAUUUAUUUUUAUUUUUUUGAAUGAUUUCAACAAAAUAGUAUUUUUAUAAUCAAAUUUGUUUAAGAAUAUAAUUGAAAAGAAAAAAUAUGCAUAAAACGGCUUAUUUUUUUUGACUGGUGCUAGUCACACCCCAAAAAAAACAAGUUACACCCCAGAAUGACUAAUAUACCCCUAAGUUGAACAUAAGUAAACUAAAUUUACAUUAACCUAAAUUGAACAUAAGUAAACUUAAUUUACAUUGAACAUAAGUAAACUUAAUUUACAUUGAACAUAAGUAAACUAAAUUUACAUUAACCUAAAUUGAAUAAGUAAACUGAAUUUACAUACUGAACAUAAGUAAACUUAAUUUACAUUAACCUAGAUUGAGUAAACUGAAUUUACACUAACCUCUUAUAUCUAGAUUGAACGUAAGUAAACUAAAUUUACAUUAACCUAGAUUGAACAUAAGUAAACUAAAUUUACAUUGACAUAAGUAAACUAAAUUUACAUUAACCUAAAUUGAACAUAAGUAAACUGAAUUUACAUUAACCUAGAUUGAACAUAAGUAAACUGAAUUUACAUUAACCUAGAUUGAACAUAAGUAAACUUAAUUUACAUUAACUUAGAUUGAGUAAACUGAGUUUACACUAACCUCUUAUAUACAUGUAAACUGAAUUUACACUAAUCUAGAUUGAACGUAAAGUUAACUAAAUUUACAUUAACCUAGAUUGAACAUAAUAAGUAAACUUAAUUUACAUUGACAUAAGUAAACUAAAUUUACAUUAACCUAAAUUGAACAUAAGUAAACUUAAUUUACACUAACCUAAAUUGAACAUAUCUCAUACCAAAACAAACAAUAAACAAAUAGAAACUCAUUGAAAAUGAAAUUCAUGAAAUUCACUAAUCUUUAUGAAUAUAGUACAAAUCAAUAACAAAGAUGUUGAUUCAAAUAUUGGUUGCACAUCUAUGGUGAUUUGUGGAUGAAAGGGGGUAAGGGUUCAGAAUGAUCAUAAAAGAUGGAUUUUUAAAAAUUUACAUGAAAAGGACAAUUUUGGUAUUAUUGUAAAAAUUUAAAUAAAUUUAGGUGUAACUAAUUUUUUUUGGGGUGUGACUAGCACCAGUCAUUUUUUUUUAUAGAUAUAGAGUAACACUUGUUUUGCAAAAUAAUAUAGUACACAUUCUCCAUAAUUAUAAACAUAAUUUCUUCUUAAAGAUAAUUUCUUGUUUUGCAAAAUAAUUUCCUGUUGGUAAAAAAAAAAUAAACAUAAUUUAUUUUUAAGAUUCAUUGAAUAACUGUUUUUUUUAAAAAAACUUUAUUAGAUGAUUAUUGUAUCUGAUCUAUAUAAAUAAAAUACAUUGAUUAUUUAAUCAAUAUGAAAAAAAAAAAAAAAAUUAACUUAUAAUAUUGACGGGAUGAGAAUUUUCAGUUGAUUUUAUUGAUUGAUGCUAUCUAUAUUUAGACCAGAGAAGGGUCUAGUUGUUGCCCCGGCAACUAAUAGACCACUCAUAUGUGAUAACAGGGAAGUGAGAAGAAUUCACAAAAUACUACACGUGUCCUUUGGUGUCCCCAGUCAAUUAAUUCUUCCACAUUGACACUUUGACAAUAUUGAGGCAUUAAAAGCAAUGGAUUUUUCCUUAAAAAAAAUGUAGGGUUAAUUAAAUUUUGACUAAAGUGCAUUUUUCCACCCCUAACUUUAAAAAACUUACAAUUUUGACCUCUUAAGUACAAAAACUAUAAUUUUGGCCCCCUAAGAUUUAACCCCUUUGCAACUUUGAUCAUUUUUGUCAAUUUUGACCGGUCAAUGCCUAUAUGGCAUGCCACGGAUGUAAUUAAUGAAUUAAAAAUUAAAAAAACCAUAUAAUCAUUUUUUAAAUCAAAUUAAUGAAAAAUGAAAUUAAAAAAAAAAAAAUAGGAUAAAAAUUAAAAAUAAAAUUCAAAUCCCUCAAUCUUUUAUUUCUUCUUCUUCAUCAUCUCUUCCUCUCAAAACACCCACUGUCACUCUCCUCCGACCACCAUCGGCGGUGACACCUCCUCCUUCUUAUUCAACAAUGCCUCUAUCGCAGCCGUCAUCCAACUUCUUUUUGUGGUGUUUCUUUUUUCUACCCAAUUUGGUUUCUUCUGUUGGUUUUUUAUUUUACCUGCUUUUAAACUUUUGUUUGUUUUUGUAUCUUUUGUAAGAAAAAUUAAAUUUCCAUAACUCUUAUUAAUUAUCUUAAAUACAAAAGAUGAAAAAAUGAGAGAAGAGAACAAUGAAACAUGUAGCACCGCUAGCUAUGUAAGAAUAGUAAUGUCGGGAAUUGUUGGUGAAAAAGUUUGUGUGUGGAAUUGGAAAUAUAACAGUAGAUUUGGAUGUGUUCCAGCCUCUAUCAUCACAGCCGCUUACCUCCACUACAUCAGCCACCAUCUCCAACUUGAGAAUCUUCUUCACUCAUGUUUCAAGGUCUUUUUUCAUUUAUUAAUUCAUGAGCUUAAUUUCACUACAACUUACAAAACGUUUGAUCAGUUAUAUAGUAUAUAUCUUCAUGAAAAUGGACUAGAACAAAAAGAACAAGAAAGUGAAGAGUUUGUAGAUGAUAUGUGUUGGUGAUGAGGAUGAAUGGUGAUAAUGAAUAUUAGAAGAUGAUGGAUGGUGGUACUUGUGAUGGGGGAAGAUGAUAUGUGCCUCUCCUUCUUCAUCUGCUUGUAUUUUUAUUUUAUUUUUCCUGAUUUUUUUAAUUUUUUAAUUUUAUUUUUCAUUUAUUUAAUUUAAAAAAUGAUUAUAUGAUUUUUUAAUUUUUUUAAUUUAUUAAUUACACACGUGGCAUGCCACGUAGGCAUUGACCGGUCAAAAUUGACAAAAAGGAUCAAAGUUGCAAAGGGACUAAAUCUUAGGGGACCAAAAUUGUAGUUUUUGUACUUAGGGGGUCAAAAUUGCAAGUUUUUAAAAGUUAGGGGGGAAAAAGUGCACUUCAGCCUUAAAUUUUUUAUCCUAUAAAUAGCUGCAGUUUUGUUUUUAGUCCUUAUAAAAAUAAAUUACAUUUUUUAGUCCCUAUUUUUCGUUAGCGCUUUUAGUUCCUAUAAAAUUUUUUGUCAGCAUUUUUAGACCCUAUCAAAAAUUUCCAUCAACAUUUUUGGUCUCUAAAAUGCUUAGGGAAAAUUUCACAGGGACUAAAAAGUGUGAUUUUAUUUUAUAGGAACUAAAAUCAAAACCGUGAAUAUUUAUAGGGGUUAAGAACUUAAUUAACCCAAAAAUGUAAUCGAUUUUUAUGAUUGAAAUCAAUGUUCACGGGACACUCUUUAAGCAUUUUUAAUAAAGAAAUUAUUCUUUAAAAAAGUUCAAGACUUCAAUUUUCAAUGCAAUAAAUGUACAAAACUUUCGUAAAAUCUUACCACUUUGAGUGCUUAACUAGUCUGUCAGGGACACUCGUUAACAUUACCCUUAAAAUUAACAUUGCUUUGAUUAUUUUAGUUCAAUUUGAAGAAACAUGGUAAAUACACAUAGAUAUCAGAGGUUCGAAGCUUGUAUAAUAAAAAUAGGGAAAUGUUAACAAAUGCCCUUGGUUAAUAAGGGUCUUGCUAACAAGUGCUAUAAGAACAUUGUUUAAGGAACCCACAAAAAGAAAUUAUGUAUUGAAAAUACAAAUCAAACAUAUGUUAAAGUCAUAACUGUACACUUUCCAGUGCAAUUGUAUGUCGUUUUGGAAAAAAAAUUUGUCCCAAAUUGUAUGUCGUUUUACAAUACCAAUGAAGCAUUAAUGUUAUUUUUUCUAUUAUAUCCUUAAUUAUUUACUACUUUCUCUUCUUCCAAGUCAUUCAUUUAUCUUUCCCAUAUCAUUUACUAAGGACAAUUUUGUAAAACAAUUCAUAAUAUUCAUUUUUCACACAAAAUUAAUUACAUUUCUUAAUAUGUGUGAAAUGCUCAAAACGUCAUACAAUUUGGGACGGAGGGAGUAUAAUAAUACAGAUUUAAAUAUUCCAAAUAAGUUUACUUAUGAAAAUUAUUAGUAGAAAUAUAGAAGAUAAAAUUAUCAUUGAUACAUAAAUAUAUUUAUCUUGUUUUGGCACUUUUAGUCUCUAUUGUGACUAAAUAAAGAGUUAUGUUAACAAUGAAAAAUUGUCAAGAUAAGAUUCGUAAAAGUAUAUUUUACUUUUUCUAUAUAUCUGUCCCCCUCAUAAAAUUUUGACUUGCUUUGCCACUCUUAUGGCUCUUCGUUAAUAAGAAUAGUAGCAACCUAAUUUGAAAUUAUAUUAUAAAGAUUGUGUGAAGCAUAAGAUAGAAAUGUUCGUGCAAGAGUAUGAGUGCUACAAUUUGUUUGAUGCCUAGUCAACACAACUUUGUACCUGUUGUGAUUCAUGAGAAUAAUUUUACAAUCUUGGAAGAUCAUACCGUACUUUGAGUGAUUUAAUUUAUUUUUGUUAUUAUCAUCAACCACCAUUUUGCAGCGUUUCUAAUACCAUGAAGUGAUGCUCUAACGAGUUCAACCAUUCAAGUUCACACAACAAACUCCAACAUUUCAAAGGACAAGCAUACAUGUUUCUUGCUUUUUCUCCCAGAGUUCAAGAUUGUGUUUCAUGCUUAUUCUCGCAAAGUUCAAGAUUGUGUUUCUUCUAUAAGCUCCAAGCAGACAUGGCAAAGUUCACUAAUUAAUUUUGACUCAUCUGUUUCCAUAAUCUAGCAACACAUCAUUGAAGCCUGCGGUAUCUUCCAUUAAUCCUUCCAACGAAGGACACAAGUUCAAUUUUCGCCAACAAAUUAACACCAUCAACAUAAGAACAAAUGUCAAUUAUAUUCAGUGUAGGAUUGACAAACCACGCUAUUUGACUGACAUUCAAUACACUUGCUAGUUAGCCUCUGUCAAUCAGGUAGUUAAUCCCUCCCAAGUAUUAGUGUGUAAUUCAAACCUUAAUCAUGUUUGUUUGUUAGUUAGGGUUAGUUACUUGUCUCUCAAGUAACUAACUGAUUUACCUAUAUUUUAGCUAGUUAGUUACUUUCUGUUUGUUACUUGAUACACAAGUAACAGUGAACAUCUUUGUAUAUAUAUAGUGUAUCCCAUUAUGAAUAAACAAUGCAAUUUUUCACAAUUCAUUAAUUCUCUUAAUUUUUCAAUCUAUUAUUCUCUCUAUCACCAAACUGUUUCUUCUAAUCCAAGUCAUCAACACAGAAACCCUAACAAAAACUGUUAUCCCCUAACACCAAGAGGCCACAUAAAAUGUUUAACCUUCGGAGGGAUGGGAAGUGACCACAUCUUGUUCCAAUCUCUUUCCCGUUUCUAAUUAAUCAUCCCUAUUUAUGAUAAUGUCAACACAAACUCAAUAAGCACUUUUGACUAAAUAUAGACCUUUUCUUGACGAAUCUUCAUAUUAUUGCAUCCUUUCUUGCAAGAUUAGUUCACGGAAUGUUGAGAACUUCAUGUACAUCUAUCUCACUAAAUAAAUUCCAAAGAAGGUUAGUAUUCAAACUUCUAGAGUUUGUAUCAAUAGGUGUACUAAAUUUGUAUGUAGCUAAAAAAUUGGUACAUACAGUAGAUAUAUAUAACAUAACCCUCCCUUCGACAAUAUUCUUUUUUUUUUGCUAAGCAGUGAGAAAGACAAACAUCAGGAGGUAACACCGACGUCCCAAUUAGGUUGACAUCCUGGAAAACCACCGUCCUCUGUCCGCUAAACUCUAAAAAUUUAUUAAUAAAGAGAAAAAAUAUAUACAAGAAGAGGGGAGACUAGACCAAAACCCUAAAAAAAAAAACAAAAAUAUAGGAUUAUGUUGACAUUGUUGAGAAGACCAAAUUCUACAUCAAACAAAGAUAGGAUUAUGUCCUAAAAGACACUCCCAAAAAAUCCCUAUUAAACAGGUAUAUAGCUUUGAAAAGAGUGUAAUAUUUUUUCAAUCAUCUUUUCUGCAAAGGAAUGAUGUAAUAGAAAUACACUAAUACAAUAAGAAGGGAUAGCUUGAGCAACUGAUUUAAUGAACUCUCCUUUCCUGUUCGAGAGAGCUUCUUACUAUUCCAACAAGAAUUAAGCUUCCACAACCGAUUCUUAAUGUAGUUAAAGAUCGAUUUUUCGCUUCUACCUAUCAUAGAUUGGAGCCCAAGAUAUUUUCCGGAGCCCAUGCACUUUGGCACUUGUAAAAUAUUAGAGAGCGUGGAGGAAUAUUUCUACUAAAGAAAAUCUCAUAUUUUUACUUCUUAAUCAUUUGCCCAUAAGUAUUUGCAUAUCUAUCUAAGAUUCCUUUUAGUAUAUGUGUUUCAAUUUCAUUGGCUCUAAAAAAUAAGUUGCCAUUUGCCCAAAAAAAAACAUGACAAAUAGUAGGAACUCAUCAUAUUACCUUCACUCCACGGACCAUUCCUUUUUGCAUUUUUAUUAGUGUCGCCAUUCCUUCCGAACACAUAAUAAAAAGAAAAUACGAUAAAAACUCACCCUAUCUUGACCCUCUUUCUAAGUAAGCUAGUAGAGUUUCAAGUUAGAAAUUACAUUCCAUUGAAUAAUAUAUUUAGGAUUAAGAUUUUUGUGAAUAAUAUUCCUACUCGUAUGUAUGUUUGAUAAAAAUUUAGAGUUUGUUCAGAUGGUUGUAAAUUUUUGGUUUUUAUUAUUGAAAAUCCAUUUCAAAGCCGAAACUUGAUUGUGCAAAAUUAGAUUCAUUUUGUAGCCAAUUAUUUUUUGGAAAAUAUGGUUACUAUGAAGGAUGAAUCCUCAAAAACAAAGAAUGAGACCAACCUCUACCAUGAUUUCCACCAAAUCCAUAGUUGUUGGAGUAGUCGAGUGUCCAUUCUUAAGAAAUUGUAUUCAAGCUUGACCAGGUUUUUAUUAUGGGUGAUCAAACAAACACAAAAGCAUAAAGGGACAUGAUUUCAAUCAAAUUAUGUAAAAAGUUCUGUCCAUUUUUACGGAGUUUAAGUUAUGAUCAAGAAAAAAAAGGUUGACGGAAGAAGCCAACAAUUACAAAUCGUAUCGUGUAGAGGAUGAAUAGGGUAGAGCCUAGCCGUUUUUUUGAAUUUAUUUUAAAUAAUAAUUCAAUUAAAUUGAUUUGAUAUGACAUGGAGAAAACAAGAAUUAUAAUUGGAUGACACUCUAAAGUGAUUUUAGAGUGUCAAUGCAUAUCCAUUUUUCCCUAGUAACAGACACUAUGUCAAGUUCGAUUUUCACUUUCAUAUUUCUAAUUUUAAUACUCACUUAACUUAAUAACAACGGAAAUUUAGAAUAUUUACAAGAACAAAACAAAUUUAACCCAAAAUUUUAUAUAACACACCUUUUUUUUUAUAUUGGUUGAAAUUUCACAAACCACAGAAUAUUGUGUGGGAUAUAUAUGGAUUUUAAUUUAGAUUAGCGUAGUCAAAUUUAAUUUUGUAAAUUUGUCCAAAAAAAAAAUUAAUUUUUUCGUAAAUACUCAAAUUAAUUUAAUGUCUGAAUAUUGAAAUAUACCGUUAAUCAUUUAUAUUAAUGAAAAACAUUUAUUUUAUUUGUAUGUUUUUUUAUUGGACCGAUGUGGAAGAGACUUGUUCUAAAAUUUGCUCAUUGUUCGAUUUAUGAUUAGAGUCGUAUAUAUUGUAUCCAGUGUUAUCUUUCAUGUGUUUAUAAUGCAUGUGCUGAAAAAAUUUAAUAACAAUUCAUGGUGGCUCUAAGAACUCGCGCCUAGCUUCCCCAUGAAGUCUGUUGAGCCAUCCACCUUCCUCAAAGUAUAGGUUUAGUCAUAUACAAGGUUUUAAAAAAUGGGCUGUUAUCGGGAAAAAUUCCGUGACAAUAAGGUAUAGGUAGCCGAUGUUAUCGUUUUUUACCGUUUUUAUAGAGUGAACAAAAAUCACAACGAAACGUCGUUUCAACUGCGAUGAAACACCAUUGCGGCCGCAAGAAAUGUCGUUUAUGACAAUUGUCAUAGAAUAUGGAUAUUUUUUCAAUUAAGAUAGAUGAAAAUCAUAUUUUUAGUACAUAUUUAAUCAUAAUGUUGGUUCCUCAUCUAGUUUAGAACUCAAAAUCUAUCUCUAGUUUAUGUUAUUUACUUUACUAUCAUCAUUUAAGAAUUUUGCAAUGUUAUGAUUAAUUCACACCGUGACAACCGUAAUCCGUAGUGCAACAUCCGUAACAGUUGAAAUCGCAAAAUCCUAUACGCGAUCGCGAUCGCGUCCGUUAUUUAAAACAUUGGUCAUAUAUAUGUUUAUUGUUUCUAUUUUAUAUAUAGAUAUAUGAUUAUAAUUUUAUAAGGUUAGGGCAUAAAUUAAGGAACAAAAAGUAGAAGUUUCUCCUUGAAAAUUGAGCAUUCAAUCUCUUGAAAGUUUCAAAAGUUAUUUUAUCAACAAAAAAAUUUAGGGUCAUGUUAACUUGUGCCCUAAGGGCACAAAUAGGGUACAAGUUAAUAAACUAAAAAUGGAAUAAAAAGACAACUUUAGCAUUGAAAAUAUAAAUUUUCAAACUUUUAAUACAAUGAAUGUACAAUUCCCAAGAAAAAGUUUCUAUGUUUAAUUUUCAAAUUUUUAAUACAAUGAAUGUAUAAUUUCCCAAAAAUUUAUUACUUAAUUCUAUUUUAAGUUCCUUAACUUAUGCCCUAACAUGACCCAAUUUAUAAAAGUUUUAUAUUUUAUAUAAGCAUAUUUUUGUUGGGUUACUGGAGGAGCCGAGGGACCGUCCACAUCGAGGCUAGAACAACCACACAAGCAAGAGAGACACCACACUCUUAUCCAAAACCUAAAGGUAAUGUGUUUAUUGGUCCUCUUACUUAUAAGGUGUUCAACCUUUACUCUUUUAUCCGAUGUGGGACAUAUAACUCACACUUGCAAACAACAACAAUUUUUAGAAAUUUUAGUGAAUUUUAUCUAAAAAAUAACAAUAUGUUACAAAUAUGUAUUAAGAAGUUUUAUGUUAUGAAUUUUACUCCCUCAAAAAAAAAAAUGUUAUGAACUUUAUAAUCGGUCAAUUUUCUUAAAAACCAAAUUAAAGUAAUAACAACAAUGAUAUAAUACACAUUCACCACUUCUUGCAAAAGCUCAUCCCCAUCACAGAUACAUAGAUUGAUGCAAAUUUAUACAUGAUUUUCACUCCUGGAAUAUCUUUACUAUAUAGUGACAAGAUAGAUGACAGCAACUGAGAUUGAUGUCUAUCUAUGCAUGCCAUUUUUUAUCAACUCACAAACAUUAUUUAUUCAUGAAAUUUAUUAUUAAGAAAGAGUGCAUCAUAACAUGAUCAUAGCAUUAUGAUCAAUUCUGAGUUUUGUCCUCAGCUUGCACGGCAACAAAUUCAGCAUGUGAGCAGCAAUGGCCAUGGCAAUAGUAAUGGCAACCACCUCCACCAUGGUGAGAACCACCUCCACCGUGAGAACCACCUCCAUAGUAAUGUCCACCACCAUUGUGGUAAUUACCACCACCAUUGUGAUAACCACCACCACCAUAUUUGGCAUCAUUUACUUCAUUAGUCUUUUCCUCAGUUUGGACGGCAACAAAUUCAGCAUAUGAGCAGCAAUGGCCAUGGCAAUAGUAAUGACAACCACCUCCACCGUGGUGAGAACCACCUCCACCGUGGUGAGAACCACCUCCAUAGUAAUGGCCACCGCCAUUGUGGUAAUUACCGCCACCACCAUAUUUGGCAUCGUUUACUUCAUUAGUCUUUUCAACAACCUCUGCAAACAUAAUAUAUAUGAACGAUUACAUUUUAUAUACAUAUAAGAAUGAUCAAAUCACAUCGCUGUAAUGUUUGAAUAUUUUUACAAUGCUCAAAAACUUCUUAUUUGAUACUUAUUUUAUAAAGCUAAACAGUUAAAUGUAUAAUUAUAUGAUAGAUAUUAAAUAUAAUUAUGUAGAAAAGAAUUAAUAAAAUAUAUAAAUGCUCAUGAAUAUAUAUAGAGAGAGAAAUAAUAUAUAACUCACCCUUUUUGGCAUCAGAGGAAGUUUCAGUUAAGUCCCUAGCGGACACUUCUGAGGAAAUAAGAAGAACCAUAGCCAAGAGGCCUAGGAUGAGGAUUGCCUUUUUCGAAUCCAUUGUUCAAUAUCUGUUCAAAUGUAAUAUUUGGUAGUGAACGAUGAGAAAACUAGUAAGAAGUGUGCUCUAUAUAUAAUGGAGGGAAAGAGUGGUAUGUAGGGACCUUUACUUGGUAGUUGAAG
rnacentral:lncRNA from 1 species